rnacentral:rRNA from 1 species
UACAGAGGUGGCAAGCGUUGUUCGGAAUUACUGGGCGUAAAGGGCGCGUAGGCGGCCACUUGAGUCAGACGUGAAAUCCCCGGGCUUAACUCGGGAACUGCGUCUGAUACUGAGUGGCUGGAGUUCGGGAGAGGGAUGUGGAAUUCCAGGUGUAGCGGUGAAAUGCGUAGAUAUCUGGAGGAACACCGGUGGCGAAGGCGGCAUCCUGGACCGAAACUGACGCUGAGGCGCGAAAGCCAGGGGAGCAAACGGG